rnacentral:rRNA from 1 species
CCUACGGGUGGCAGCAGUAGGGAAUAUUGCUCAAUGGUCGAAACCCUGAACCAGCAACGCAGCGUGGAGGAUGACGGCUUUCGGAGUGUAAACUCCUUUUGUUGGAGAAGAUAAUGACGGUAUCUAACGAAUAAGCACCGUCUAACUCCGUUCCAGCCGCCGCGGUAAUACGGAGGGUGCCAGCGUUACUCGGAAUCACUGGGCGUAAAGCGCGCGUAGGCGGGAUAGCAAGUCAGAUGUGAAAUCCUAUGGCGUAACCAUAGAACUGCAUUUGAAACUGUUAUUCUAGAGUGUGGGAGAGGUAGGUGGAAUUCGUGGUGUAGGGGUAAAAUGCGUAGAGAUCAAGAGGAAUACUCAUUGCGAAGGCGACCUGCGAGAACACAACUGACGCUGAUGCGCGAAAGCGUGGGGAGCAAACAGGAUUAGAUACCCCUGUAGUC